rnacentral:rRNA from 1 species
CCCUUAGAUGUUCUGGGCCGCACGCGCGCUACACUGACGAAUUCAACGAGCUUAUAACCUUGGCCGAAAGGUCUAGGUAAUCUCCAAAAUUCGUCGUGAUGGGGAUAGAUUAUUGCAAUUAUUAAUCUUCAACGAGGAAUGCCUAGUAAGCGCAAGUCAUCAGCUUGCGUUGAUUACGUCCCUGCCCUUUGUACACACCGCCCGUCGCUCCUACCGAUUGAAUGCUCAGGUGAGCCAUUCGGACUUUCAUCAUGCUGGUUUCCAGUUUUGAUGAAGGAAAGUCUUGCGAACCUUAUCAUUUAGAGGAAGGAGAAGUCGUAACA